GAUUUAUCGAUGGGGAUAUAAUUGAAUUGUAAGGUUUUUGUUGAUUUUUGUGUGUGAAGUGAUUCAUCGGUGGGGAUAGAACUGAAUUGUAAGGUUUUUUUUAUGAUUUGUGUGUGUGUAGUUUUACUUCAAAGCCCUUUUUCCUUUAGAACUUUAUACAUACACAUUGACGGGUGUCGCCGCAAAACCUCUACUUUUGCUCCAGCAAAACCCUAAUCAGCUUCUCCGUCUCCAAAAAAAAUUCAGAACCAAGAAACAGUUCUCUGAGGGAUUUGAACGACGAUGUAUCUUCAGUGCUAUAUCAACGAGAAGGGUGAGAAGGUUUACACCACUAAGAUUCUGGGAAAAAAAAAACAAGGAGAAGCUGAAUCACAGAGAUCGGAGAAAACUGAAUCAGAGGUACCAAUGGAGAAGAUCAAUAGUGUUAACGAGUCAGAGAAUAUUGAUAGAGAUGAAGUAGAACUAACGUUUCUACAGCGGCCGGUGUUUACAAGGAGCAAAUCGGAGCCGACGAGUAUUGGGCGAGAAGAAUGUGGUGUUGCUUCCAAAUAAAGAAGAGGGUAAAGUUUAGUUCUCUCUCUCACGUGAUUGACUUUUUAGUCAAUUUCACUAAUUAAAAAUAAUGGUCUUUAACCGACAUUGUUACUUUUUUAGGAUUAAAUUGACUGUGCUUAGAAGAUAUAGAGGAAAACAAAUUGUAAUUGUAUAGUAAGAUUUGUAAUCCAACCACACAUAUAACGUAAUGUUUAUGUA